AUUGAACGCUGGCGGCAGGCCUAACACAUGCAAGUCGGACGGUAGCACAGGGGAGCUUGCUCCUCGGGUGACGAGUGGCGGACGGGUGAGUAAUGUCUGGGGAUCUGCCCGAUAGAGGGGGAUAACCACUGGAAACGGUGGCUAAUACCGCAUAACGUCGCAAGACCAAAGAGGGGGACCUUCGGGCCUCUCACUAUCGGAUGAACCCAGAUGGGAUUAGCUAGUAGGCGGGGUAACGGCCCACCUAGGCGACGAUCCCUAGCUGGGCUGUGAGGAUGACCAGCCACACUGGAACUGGGACACGGUCCAGACUCCUACGGGAGGAAGAAGUGGGGAAUAUUGCACAAUGGGCGCAAGCCUGAUGCAGCCAUGCCGCGUGUAUGAAGAAGGCCUUCGGGUUGUAAAGUACUUUCAGCGGGGAGGAAGGCGAUGUGGUUAAUAACCGCGUCGAUUGACGUUACCCGCAGAAGAAGCACCGGCUAACUCCGUGCCAGCCGCCGCCGUAA
rnacentral:rRNA from 1 species